rnacentral:tRNA from 1 species
AUUUAUAUAGUUUAAAAAAAACAUUUUUUUUUCAUAAAAAAAUUAAUUUAAUUAUCAAAAUUUAUAAAUU